rnacentral:lncRNA from 10 species
GACAGCGUGGGGGUGAGACGGGAGGACACACCGGGAGGGGCGCAAGAAAUGCCAGAGGCAGGAGACAGAUGGGUCCAAGGGCCAGAGAGCCUGCUCCAGUGGCUCCUCGGAGUGAGAUGGGUCAGAGAGGGAGGCAGGAGACCAGAAAAUACCAAGGAAGAAAAAUCUAAGCAGGGCGCAUGCAGGCGGAGCGGAGGAGCCCCUGUGGGAGGGGGGCAACCAGGAUGGGGGCUCUGUGAGCGUGAACUAGAGAACCCAGAAAGACACACAGUCCCUGGGAACCUGGAAGCUACCGUGUUCCUGCUGCACCCUUACGUGUGUACUCUGCAAGCCUUUUGGCCAGACAAGUCACAUGGCCCUGAGGCGGGUGCUGGAAAACGUGGAGGAGGGGUGGCUUUGGUCGCUGGACACACAUCUCUGCCACGGUGACUGACGGAGGCUGUGAAAGGACAAUCUGAGUGAAGAAGUGAAUGAGGUGCUGAUUCCACAGGGACUUCCUGAGAAGGGCGGAGUGGCUCCCAGCGGACGGGAAUUAGAGACCGCCUGAGAACAGGAAACCUACCUCCUCUAUUUCUGGGUUCCCAGUGUCCUGCCCAGAGCCCAUCAUGUGGCAGAAGCUCAGGACACAAAUGUCAGGGGCAGAAGACUAAGUCCUUGCUCUGGGCAGGGGUCAGGACGUGUGCAGCUCCUUGGCCCCAGAAUUGUUUCCCUCCUGCCUCACUCCCUGGUGUAGAAUUUGGCCCAGACGCUCCCUGCCAUGUGACUUGGCAGGAGCUCCCUCUAGAGGAGGGGUAGUGAUAUAGCUGUAAAUCUCACGUUGAGGCUGGGCGCGUUGGCUCAAGCCUGUAAUCCCAGCACUUUGGGAGGCUGAGGCAGGCGGAUCACCUGAAGCCAGGAGUUCGAGACCAGCCUGCCCAACAUGGUGAAACCCUGUCUGUACUAAAAAUAUUAAAAAAAUUAGCUGGGCAUGGUGGUGCAUGCCUGUAAUCCCAGCUACUUGGGAGGCUGAGGCAGGAGAAUCGCUUGAACCCAGGAAGCAGAGGUUGCAGUGAGCUGAGAUCGUGCCACUGCACUCCAGCCUGGGCAACAGAGCGAGACUCCAUUAAAAAAAAAAAAAAACCUCAUGUUGAAAUGUGAUCCCCAAUGCUGGCGGUGGGGCCUGGUGGGAGGUGUUUGGAUCAUGGGGUGGAUUUCUCAUGAAUGGUUUAGCACCAUCCUCUUGGUGCCGUUCUUGAGACAGUGAGUGAACUCUCUCGAGAUCUUGUUUAAAAGAGUGUGGCACCUCCCUCCAUGUCUCUUGCUCCCACUCUUGCCAUGUGAGAUGCCUGCUCCCCCUUCACUUCAGUCACAAUUGUAAACUUCCUGAGGCCUUCACCAGAAGCUAAUGCUGGCACUAUGCUUCUUGUACAGCUUAGAGAACCAUGAGCCAAUUAAACUUCUUUUCUUUAUAAAU